ensembl:lncRNA LINC02347 long intergenic non-protein coding RNA 2347
ACUGUUAACAGAAGAGGCCUCCCUCCUGCAGUGGGAAUACCAGGGGUGGGCACUGUCAAGAGACCCAGCUUUGACUUCAAAUGCCACCCAGAGGGACAACUGCUCACUUUCAGAGCAGGAGCAGGAGGCCAGAGGAGAGUACCAGCUGAAACUGAUUAGAGCCAAGAUAGCCAACCAAAUGACUUCAGGAAGACCUCAGGCUUCAUUAUCAUCUCAUUUCCAUGCUAAAAAAACCCAGCUCCCUAGAACAAUGGGAAAUAUUGGGCACUUCAUCAGGCGAGUUCAGGUGCAUUUCUAGAGAUUGUCCAGGUGCUGGUAACAAUAAUAGAGAACCAUCCAUAUCCACAAGAGGCAGAACCUCUUCCAGCAAAAUGGUGCUGCCUCACCCAAAGCUCAGCUUCUACUUCCCUUCUGAGGAAGUUCAUGACAGGGAGCUGCUGCAACUGAUGUGACUUUCAACUCUAAUAUCCCGAUGAUGUAAAUGCACUGAUCAGCUCAGCAGGAUUUAAGGUCUCAUCCGCUGAGCAGUGCCUCCUCCCGAUUCAGCACGUCCCUGGUGCCGACUUUCUGCACGUGUUCACUUUGAGGCUGCAUUGUGGGCCUGCAAGAAAUGCAAAGCUGGUUGAGGCUUUAUUCAAUUCAAAUUCAAGCUGUUAAAUCGAGGCUCUCAGACUCCUGCUGCCUGGCCAGUGGAGAAAUUAACUUUCACAUAUGGCUUUGGGAUUUCUCUCUGUCAUCCUGGUCGACGUGUUCUCUCAUUUUUCUGAAGUCUGGGACCUCAACACAGACAUCUGGGUGAAGGCCUUGACAGCAGCGCUGGUGCAAAAUGAAUUGUCACAUCACACCCAACGUUCUCAACCUUUAGAAUCUGAAAGUAAGAAAAACACCUCAAACAAAACAUUAAAGAUUGAAUAAUUGAAGGCACUAUGCUUGGUGCUGAAGAAGGUCUAAGGAGGUCUACACCACAGAGGCUGCACCCACUCCUCAGCCUUGCUGAGCCACACCAUUCUCAUCUCUACAGCAUCCACCUCUCUUGGCUCUUGUAAGGAUUGAGACAUGCCACCAGGCUUACUAUUGAUUCUGAGUAAUCAGCACAGAUUUCUAAAAGAAACUUUAUGGGAUGCUGAGACAUGAAUAAAAACAACUUUAUUCCUUUGGAAAGGACAACCCACAUGCUAAGAAGAUGACACUACACGUUGUUAUAGCCCGAAAGGCCCUCUUUCCACAGGGGAGCAGUGAAAAGUAGAGGUUGCCCAUGUGGAUUCCCAAGUCAGAUAGAUGUGGAUUCAGAUCCCAGCUCUGCUGCUUGCUACCCAAGAGACCAUGGACUGUGGACUCUUUAGGUCUCAGGGUUUUUGUUUGUUGUCUGUUUUUCACUUCCAAAACCAGAAAAUGAGAAGAUAUUUUCCAUAAGAUGGCGGUGCACAUCCACUGUGGGGCUUGGCCUCAAUCCCCUAGAUGUCUUCAAUAUAAUCUUCAAUUGUCAGGAGAAGAGAACUUGAUGGACCUUGCUUGGACAAAAUGCCUUCACCGCUAACUCAGUCAGCUAUGGCGAUGGGUCAAGGACCUGGUGGUUUUACAGAGAAGACCCUUGGUCAAAUCUUUGUGAAUGAAGCAACCAUUCUGAUGUUCAAUAACAGGAAUGCACCAGUUUAUACCAAACUAUCUGUACUAUUGAGAACAGCAAAAAUAUCUGACCAAAAACACCAAAGAGUGACAUUUUAAAAGACAUCAAAGAACUCUCAAGGCUUCCAGAGUUGGAAAGAUCAAGAAAGAGAGAAUGCAACUUCAUUAAGACACAAAAAGGAACAGGAUACAGAAGUGGAGGCAGUUCAGCGAAAAAGAUGAGAAGAAGGAGAAUGUCCACAAAUAAAUUUCACUUAUAAAAGUUCAGAUAAAAA